GAGCGAGCGGCGGGUGUCCCUGAGAGGCCACCUUUCGACCUUCGAGGGCCAGGAGGAUACGGGGAGGUGGCCGGAGGGAGUUCCCGAACACAGGUCUUCCUGUUCCCGCCGAGCAGGUGUUGGCGGUGCCAGGCCCGGCCUGGCGGGCCCGGGCUGGCAGCCAAAUACCCAGCGUCUGUGCUCGGGACGGGAGUGUUCGUCCAGGACGUGCAGCUCCGGAGCCUGCGCGGGCGACCUUGACCACCUUUGUCGGCUGUUUCCCCCUGAGGGAAGUAUACCUGUCCUGCCAGCCUUGGUCUCUGGCAGGGAAGGUCCUUCCAACAGAGAGGGGUGCGCACGAAUUCCUUUUUGCCGCUCUUCUAUUAAUAGUUUGAGAUUUUCCUCCCCGAUUCCUUGCAGAGAGGGCCUGGUCCUCAAGGACCUCGGGAUCUGGGCGCGACGUCCCUUCCCAGCUUCCUCCCGCGCGCACCGGACCAGAUCUUGCUGUCGUCAGCUGGCUGGUACCCAAAGUUCCUCUUCGUCAGGCUGUUCCUUCCCCGUUAGAGUCCUUCCUCCCCAGGAGCCCUCUCCAUCUGCUGACCUUCAAGACCCAGAGCGAAUGCCACUUCAUCCAUGAAGCCUUCCCUUAACCCUUAUCUGGCCAAAAUGUCUCUUUCCUGUGCUUCUGUACUUUCACAAUUUUAGAAAAUGCCUUUGUGGUUAAAAACCUAUCUCCGGGACCGGACUAUCUAGGUUUAGAUUCUGGCUGCCGCUUACGAAUUUGGGCAGGUUUAGUCAAGUUAUUUUAACCUCUCUGUGGAAGUUCCUGCUCUGUGGAAAUAAUAGUAUUUUCCUCAGAGUUGGUGUGGGGAGUUUGUGAGUUAAUACAUUUACGAAGUGGUUAGUUGCAUGUAAGAAGGACUCUCUAAAUGUCAGCUAUUAUUAACAUUGCAUAUCUGCCACACCCUUCAUAGAUGGUAAACUGCUUUUUUUUUUUUUUUUACUUUUAUUUUAGGUUCGGGAUACAUGCACAGGUUUGUUUUAUAGAUAAAUUGCUUGUCAUGUGGGUUUGUUGUACAAAUUAUUUUGUCACCCAGAUAGUAAGCAUAGUACUUGACAGGUAUUUUUUCUGAUCCUCUCCCUCCUCCCACCCUCUAGCCUCAAGUAGGUCCCAGUGUCUGUUGUUCUCUUCUUUGUGUCCAUGUGUUCUCAAUGUUUAGCUCCCACUUACAAGUCAGAACAUGCAGUAUUUGGUUUUCUCUUCCGCAUUAGUUCACUUAGGAUAAAGGCCUCCAGCUCCAUCCAUGUUGCUACAAAGGACAUGAUCUCUUUCUUUUUUAUGGCUGCAUAGUAGUCCAUGGUGUAUAUGUACCGUAUUUUCUUCAGUCUACUGGUGAUGGGCAUUUAGGUUGAUGCCAUGUCUUUACGAUUGUGAAUAGUGCUGCAGUGAACAUACAUGUACAUAUAUCUUUAUGGUAGAAUGAUUUAUAUUCUUUUGGGUAUAGACCCAAUACUGGGAUUGUUGGGUCGAAUGGUAAUUCUGUUUUAAGUUCUUUGAGAAAUCGCCACACUGCUUUCCGCGGUUACUGAACUAAUUUACAUUCCCACCAGCAUUGUAUAAGCAUUCCCUUUUCUCCACAACCUCACCAGAAACCAGCAUCUGUUAUUUCUUGACUUUUAUUAAUAGCCAUUCUGACUGGUGUGAGAUGAUAUCUCAUUGUAGUUUUGAUUUGGGUUUCUCUAGUGAUUAGUGAUGUUGAGUAUUUUAUAUGCUUGUUGGCCAUGUAGCUUCUUUUGGCUAGGGACCUGUGAGUCUCCCUAGGUUUCUUGCACUUACUAAGCCUUCAACAAAUGGUAGAAGAGUCAAUUCUCUUGGUGUUUCAGAAGAAAACAAUAUCACAGCCCCUCUCCACUGGAUAAUACUAUAAAUCUUAAAAUGAAUUUUCAUUCAGAGUAAUAAACACAAGCCAAAGAACUUUGUAUAACAUCCGUCAACUUUUUGUGUUAUCUAUUUCUUUUCCAAAACAUUGCCUCUGGUUUUAAAGGUAACUGCCCACAGUGUUUCACUAAUAACAUUUUAAGCAUUACAAGUUCAACACUGAAGGUCAAAUGACAACGAACUUUCAGUGCUUCCAAAAGCAGGGGCAGAGGGCAACUGCUGAGGGGGGCAUUGUAUAGCCUAACCUUCCCAGAAUUUGAUUUAAAAGUAUGAUCUUCACAGCGUUGGCCAGCAAUAUCAUGGUCACUCCCUACGUCAUUCCCUGGGAGAAAAACAACCCUAGGUUACCUAAACAAUGUUGGCGAAGACCAAAUAUUUAUUAACAUCCUAAGCCGCCCCAUAAUCAAGCCAAUGCUGAUAGGGACAAAGAAGGUGCCAUGUGCAGUUUUUCUCCAUGUCCCCACAAUAUCUGCUCUGAAUUUUAAAAGGCAAUUACUGGGGGAGAAGGAAGCCUAUAUAUUAUGUAGGAUCCAAGUCUCAAACUGCUUUCCUAGGGAGUGUGAGGUUCUUGGAGAUUAAGUGCAGUACCUUUCUGUCUUGAGCCUUGUAGGCUGCCCCUCUAAUUUAAUGCCAGUCUUGAAAUAAACAGAAUGCUUUCCAAGUCAUCGCUAAUUUUAACACUUUAAAUUUAGAAUUGCUUAGAAUUGACUCAACACUGCCUCCUUGCUGAAUGGAUAAUUCAAGCAAACAACUCAAGAGCUGGAUGCUGCCCAGACAGGUAGGCAGCCAGAUAAAGUGAGUGUCCAGGGAAAGAGCAGUAAGGGUCAGAAGAGAAAGAGCCUGGUGUUCUCACUGCCUCCUGCCUUCCUUAUGACUGUCUGUUCAGAAGUCCUCCUAGCAUCUUUCUUCUGCCUUCCCCUGCUCCUGUCCCUGAAACCUUUUCUUCAAAAGAAGUGGAAAAGAGGAACUGGGAACCCAUAUAGCAACAGCAUCACCUGGAAUGAAUUCCUUUAGAACAUACUGUCUUGGAAAUCUGAAGCCUGCAGGGCUGGACAGGCAAGAAGAGCAGUGAGCACUGCAUGAACCUGCAUGUACUCCGAAAUAUUUUUCAAAUGGAAAAGAAAACAGAGAACACAAUUUUCAAAAUAUCUAGAGCCCUCCAAGAAGUCUUUGUAGAGAUCUAUAAAAUCUCAAGGCAAUUUAAAGAAAAAUGUUUUAGAAACACUAUUCUCUCCACAUCCUGGGGCAGCAGCCUUCUCCAAAGAAACAGAAAGAAGGAAAUGGAUUGCCUUAGCAAAAAAACAAAUGAAGACACUCCAAAUAACAGAAGAAUGGGAAGGCUACAGACCUUGAAGUCAGAAGAAAAUUUCCUCUCCUUGCCCCGUUUCUCCUUAAAUGGAUCACCAGUACAGUCUCUUACUUCUAGAGCCAUGUUAAGCUUUCUUCCCCAAAGUUGUAAUGUCCUUCUUUUGGUUGUGUCGUGUCCUAAAAUCCUACUCUUUGGUACAAGAUGAAGGUAUAUGAAGAGAUAAUGAAGGAAACAAAUUCAAUGUGUUUGCCAAGAACACAGUCUUUUAAAUAACUCUUAAAGGGUUCGUUUAAAACAGUGUAAUAAAUUGUGGUAAUCUAGUACACAAAGCUAGUAGGAACCUCGUUUAUUAAUAAUAUUUCAACAUUGAGCAGUAGAGGGCAGCACUAUCCUUCUUUUGCAAAAUGUUGAGCACUCUUGAGAAGGAAAAUAAAGGCAAAGCUCCUGA
rnacentral:lncRNA from 1 species